UGGGAAGUAUUGCAUCAAUGGGCAGGCAAGCCAUGACUGCAGCCAUGCCGCGCUGUAUGAAGAAGGCCAAUUCGGGGCUUUGGUUAAAGAUACUUUCAGCGAGGAGGAAGGCAUUAAGGUUAAUAACCUUGGUGAUUGACGUUACUCGCAGAAGAAGCACCGGCUAACUCCGUGCCAGCAGCCGCGGUAAUACGGAGGGUGCAAGCGUUAAUCGGAAUUACUGGGCGUAAAGCGCACGCAGGCGGUCUGUCAAGUCGGAUGUGAAAUCCCCGGGCUCAACCUGGGAACUGCAUCCGAAACUGGCAGGCUAGAGUCUUGUAGA
rnacentral:rRNA from 1 species